GCCUUGGUAGCUCAAUGGAAAAAGCGUCUGACAUGUAUUCAGAAGACGUGGGUUCGAUUCCCCCAUGGGUU
rnacentral:tRNA from 1 species